rnacentral:rRNA from 1 species
GACGAACGCUGGCGGCGUGCUUAACACAUGCAAGUCGAACGAGUGUAGAACGGGGGAGUAAGACGUGGGUAACCUGCCCUCUUUUUGGGAUAAGCCUGUGAAACGGGGGCUAAUACCGAAUCAAGGGGGAUGGGCUCGCGGCCUAUCAGCUUGUUGGUGGGGUGAUGGCCUACACAGGGGGUGACGGGUAGCCGGCCUGCGAGGGUGAACUGUCACAGUGGGACUGAGAUACGGCCCAGGCUCCUAGGGGGGGCAGCAGUGGGGGAGAUUGCACAAUGGGUGAAGGCCUUAUGCAGCGACGCCGCGUGGGGGAUGAAGGCUUUCGGGUUGUAAACCUCUUUCGCAAGCUAACGGGUAGGUGGAGAAGAAGCGCCGGCUAACUACGUGCCAGCCGCCGCGGUAAUUC